rnacentral:rRNA from 1 species
GAAGGGUGCAAGCGUUACUCGGAAUUACUGGGCGUAAAGCGUGCGUAGGUGGUUUGUUAAGUCUGUUGUGAAAGCCCCGGGCUCAACCUGGGAAUGGCAAUGGAUACUGGCAAGCUAGAGUGCGGUAGAGGGUAGUGGAAUUCCCGGUGUAGCGGUGAAAUGCGUAGAGAUCGGGAGGAACACCAGUGGCGAAGGCGGCUACCUGGACCAGCACUGACACUGAGGCACGAAAGCGUGGGGAGCAAACAGGAUUAGAUACCCUGGUAGUCCACGCCGUAAACGAUGGGUACUAGGUGCCUGGGGGAGCGACCCCUUGGGUGCCGGCGCUAACGCAGGAAGUACCCCGCCUGGGGAGUACGGUCGCAAGACUG